rnacentral:rRNA from 1 species
UACAGAGGUCUCAAGCGUUGUUCGGAUUCAUUGGGCGUAAAGGGUGCGUAGGUGGCGCGCUAAGUCAGGUGUGAAAUCUCGGAGCUUAACUCCGAAACUGCAUUUGAUACUGGCGUGCUUGAGGACUGGAGAGGAGACUGGAAUUCACGGUGUAGCAGUGAAAUGCGUAGAUAUCGUGAGGAAGACCAGUGGCGAAGGCGGGUCUCUGGACAGUUCCUGACGCUGAGGCAGCGAAGGCCAGGGGAGCAAACGGG